rnacentral:rRNA from 1 species
UGCCUAACACAUGCAAGUCGAGCGGAGGUAUAUACGAAGAAGUUUUCGGACGGAAUUGUAUAUACUUUAGCGGCGGACGGGUGAGUAACGCGUGAGCAACCUGCCUUUCACAGGGGGAUAAGGCGGCGAAAGCCGCUCUAAUACCGCAUGAGACCACGGUGAUGAUAUUACAGGGGUCAAAGGAGCAAUCCGGUGAAAGAUGGGCUCGCGUCCGAUUAGGUAGUUGGUGGGGUAAUGGCCCACCAAGCCCGUGAUCGGUAGCCGGCCUGAGAGGGUGAACGGCCACAUUGGAACUGAGACACGGUCCAAACUCCUACGGGAGGCAGCAGUGGGGAAUAUUGGGCAAUGGGGGGAACCCUGACCCACCAACGCCGCGUGAGGGAAGAAGGUUUUCGGAUUGUAAACCUCUGUUCUUGGGGAAGAGUGAAAGACGGUACCCAAGGAGGACGCCCCGGCUAACUACGUGCCAGCAGCCGCGGUAAUACGUAGGGGGCGAGCGUUAUCCGGAAUUACUGGGUGUAAAGGGCGCGCAGGCGGCCCUGCAAGUCGGAUGUGAAAGAUCAAGGCUCAACCUUGACAGGCCAUUCGAAACUGUGGGGCUUGAGUGUCAGAGGGGAAAGUGGAAUUCCUAGUGGAGCGGUAAAAUGCGCAGAUAUUAGGAGGAACACCGGUGGCGAAGGCGACUUUCUGGCUGACAACUGACGCUGAGGCGCGAAAGCGUGGGGAGCAAACAGGAUUAGAUACCCUGGUAGUCCACGCCGUAAACGAUGAUUACUAGGUGUAGGGGGUAUCGACUCCCUCUGUGCCACAGUUAACGCAUUAAGUAAUCCACCUGGGGAGUACGGCCGCAAGGUUAAAACUCAAAGGAAUUGACGGGGGCCCGCACAAGCAGUGGAGUAUGUGGAUUAAUUCGAGGCAACGCGAAGAACCUUACCAGGGCUUGACAUCUCCUGCAUUACUCUUAAUCGAGGAAGUCCCUUCGGGGACAGGAUGACAGGUGGUGCAUGGUUGUCGUCAGCUCGUGUCGUGAGAUGUUGGGUUAAGUCCCGCAACGAGCGCAACCCUUAUUGUUAGUUGCCAUCAUUAAGUUGGGCACUCUAGCGAGACUGCCCGGGUUAACCGGGAGGAAGGUGGGGAUGACGUCAAAUCAUCAUGCCCCUUAUGUCUAGGGCUACACACGUGCUACAAUGGUCGGUACAAUAAGACGCAAGCCCGCGAGGGGGAGCAAAACUGGAAAACCGAUCUCAGUUCGGAUUGUAGGCUGAAACUCGCCUACAUGAAGCUGGAGUUGCUAGUAAUCGCGAAUCAGCAUGUCGCGGUGAAUACGUUCCCGGGCCUUGCACUCACCGCCCGUCA